UCCACGUGGGGGACCCUAGUUUCUGAGGAGAGGGUCUAUUAUUUUGCUUUUGAAACAUGCCAAAGUCUACCUCCUUACGUUUUCUUUAACUUGCCUAAGGUCGGUGCAGCAUGGCCAAGGCUCACGUUGAGCGAACAGCUUUCCAGGGGAAGGUGUUCCCAAAAAAGUGGACACCGCGAUGAGCACCUCCCAGCCGGCCUGGGGAAGGAACGAGACACCAGGACCGGCUGGGCCCGCAGCUGCCGCACUGCCUUUGGGACACUUCCCCAAUCUAGCAACACUUCCGGUCAAAGGAUUUCCUGGUUCUCUCGGGCCCCAGACAGUCGCCACUGGCGAACUGGAGGAGCCUUCUGUGACCGCACCCACCCUUGAGGCCACCAGCUGAUACCCGUGGAGCAGAGAGGAGCCAUCCUGGUGAAACCCUGUCCCAACUGCAGGUCUGUGUGCAGAAUACAUGCAUGCUGAAACCACUGAGCCUAGAGAUGGCUGUAUCAUAGCAACACAUGGCAAGGUCGGUCUGGGAUCAGUCAGGAGCCUCCAGGCUGCUGUGGUCUGCAGGGCCAGCACCAGGUGGGACAGAGCGAGGGGGUCACCACAAGGUGCUGGCAGGUUGAGGUAGGACAGCUGGACACUUGUGUGGUGUAUCUCUCAGUCUGAGUGAGCCCUGCACGUCUGUGCACGUGUGCAAUAGGUGUGUCCUACACUCCUCUGGAGUAAAAGUACAGAAUUCUGACAAAAAAGUCAGCAAAAAAAUUUCUUUUUAAAAUGUUAGGUUUACCCAUGUCAUCUAACAAUGGGGUUUAGAUUAUAAAUCUUUUAUAUUUGGGGGAAAUGAACAUGGGGAGGUUAAAAUAACCAUACUAGCAAACUCAUAUGCACUAUUCAUAUGAAUGUCUCUCUGCAUAUGUGUAAAAUGUCUCUUUUUUAAAGUCACAAUACAGGAGCGCACUUCAGAAAGUUCAUAAGAAGAUUCCUAUUAUCUCUCAAUUCUAUUUUCCAGCAAACUUUCUGAAGUACCCCUGUAUAUGCUCCCUUAACUUUUUCUUUCCUGAACGUUCAAACUUCACAUUCCACAUCAUUGUGAUGCUGCUGUCGAGAGGUGACAUGUACAGCAGCCAGUCCUGCUGUUGUCACACCUGUAGCGUGACCACGUUCAAGUGAAAGUGUAGCAAGUAGCCCUCGUGCACCUAAGCAGACACAGCGGCUUGUUCCGGGGACGGAGCCACACUUCUCGUGCUCAGCCCUCGUCUGACUCUGGCCGUGGGGGAAUGUGCGUGUCACCCAGGCGCUGACAGCACCCCCCACUCAGGCCCCCCUGAGGCCCAUCCCCAUCAGCUCCUUUCCAUGUAAAGACCCGAUCGUCUGCUGCGAGCAACGCCGGGGUAGGGAAGGAGCUUCCUGAAAUGUGGACCUCCAGGCCUGGAACUUACCCUCAUUCCGCUGGCGUCAGCCCCUCGCCCAACACACACAGGUGCCUGCACAGAGCACACUCAGCCACACUCGCACGUGUGUGUGCUCACACGUGCCAGCGUGCCCUCGAGCUUUCUAUGAGCAGGGUCUCACCUAUGCAGUAUUCUGGCUGAGAAGUUAAAUGUGCAUGAGGAACAAGCUGCCUUGGCCAAAAGGGAGCUGAGUGAAGGAGGAUUUCUGCCAGCGCUUCCUGGUCUCCAGGUCCCUAAAGAGGGGUGGGGAUCCACAGCGGGUGUCGAGCACUGUCCCUCGCUAGAGGCUUCCUGGAGGAAGCACCAGGCUGCCCUCCUAGGGAGCCCACAGAGGCCCAGCACAUGAGCUGUUGCAGCUCGUGUUGUUGGUUUCAGUUUGUUGAGGUCGUAGGUUUUGGUUCAUUUUUUCAUGCAUUCUCAAGCAGGAGUCUCUAAUGCUUUCCCCCAACAUUGUUCCUAGAGGUAGGUUCCCUGAUGGCCCAGAUCUGCCAUGUUUUGCACCUGCUCAAAGCCCCACACCUCGGACACCUCCGACAGCCAGCCUGGGUGGCCCCACCUAGCGCUGGCCUUCUUUCUUCCUCCCUCCCCCAAGGACUGAGAGGCAGGAGACGAGGAAUCAGCCAAUGGGCACAGCUGUCCUGUUACACACUUCCACUUCCACAGGGUCCCUGUCAUGUCGCCAGGUGCCCACUUCUGUGGGGAUGACAAUGACUUUCCCCUUGUGGGAUGGGAUGUCUCUGCCAUGAGUCCUGUACUCUUCACGUCCCUAGCAGUAACUGGACUCUGCCUCACUGGUAUGUUGGGAAGCUUGGAAGAGGGAACUUGAGGAAAGCAGUGCAUAGUUUCUGGCCCAUGGUUAGUAUCUGACUUUCACACAACCAGGGGCCACUUGUUUAAACCCUCCCACAGCCUGGUCUAAGCACCGUCCCUAUGUGUGCAGCGCUGCUCAGAUGAGGGCUCCCAGCAGGAGCACAGUGGCGUUGAGCAGCUUUACCGCCAGUGGGUUCACCCCAGCAGGGAGCAGAAAGUCUCUCUAGAGCUCCGCAGGCCAUUCUAACAUGAAGUCAGGGCUGAGAACGGCGGGCUCAGGCCAGUGAUCCUCAAAGAUUCUGUUCAUGGAUUUAUUCGCUUUCAAGUUUAAUCCAAACCCUGAUAGCCACGGUUUAGAUGACAGAGGGUAAACUGGCACAGGCCCCUACUGGGGUGCAGUGGGGACAGGCUGA